CAGCGGCUCACUUCAAGAGCAGGUGAAGCAAGUUGGGACAAUGUUGAAGACAUUUGCUUGCACUGGGCAAUCAGGUGCAGAUCAAACCCUAAUGCUGCGACGUCUUGGAGUUUGGCGAUGUUGUGCGUAGCAUGGACAACAAAAUGCUAUGCUGCAACAUUUCAGUGCCAAUGUGUCUGUUGGAGAGUUAUCCCUGCCAGGGGAUCUGUUACUCCCCCCUAGACACCCAGGAAGAUUUGGCGUUGCUUGACAACAGUUUGAGGCAGGAUAAAGAGCUCCAGCAACGAUUUCUUCGGUUUUUGGCAAUCAAAUGUGGGAGGGACCUAAAGACAACCGUGUGGCGAAUGCUUUAGAGUAUCUUCUCUAAUCACCUUUCCAUCAAUACAACCUGGACUGGUGUAGGGGAUAAAGCAUGUUUUAGAGACAUGUUCCUGAAG